ACGGGUGAGUAAUGUCUGGGGAUCUGCCCGAUAGAGGGGGAUAACCACUGGAAACGGUGGCUAAUACCGCAUAACGUCGCAAGACCAAAGAGGGGGACCUUCGGGCCUCUCACUAUCGGAUGAACCCAGAUGGGAUUAGCUAGUAAGCGGGGUAACGGCCCACCUAGGCGACGAUCCCUAGCUGGUCUGAGAGGAUGACCAGCCACACUGGAACUGAGACACGGUCCAGACUCCUACGGGAGGCAGCAGUGGGGAAUAUUGCACAAUGGGCGCAAGCCUGAUGCAGCCAUGCCGCGUGUAUGAAGAAGGCCUUCGGGUUGUAAAGUACUUUCAGCGGGGAGGAAGGCGAUGUGGUUAAUAACCGCAUUGAUUGACGUUACCCGCAGAAGAAGCACCGGCUAACUCCGUGCCAGCAGCCGCGGUAAUACGGAGGGUGCAAGCGUUAGUCGGAAUUACUGGGCGUAAAGCGCACGCAGGCGGUCUGUUAAGUCAGAUGUGAAAUCCCCGGGCUUAACCUGGGAACUGCAUUUGAAACUGGCAGGCUUGAGUCUCGUAGAGGGGGGUAGAAUUCCAGGU
rnacentral:rRNA from 1 species